rnacentral:lncRNA from 1 species
GCCACCGGUGUUAAGAGGCUCAGGAGCAUUGGCAUGAUCAACAGUGUCCCUGGAAUGAAAGCUUUGGACAUGAACGCUGCUGAGGACGCGAUUGUUAGACUUACCAGAGAGGUCGUACCUGGUAUGAUUGUCACAGGAAUGGAAGUUGCUGAAAUUGAUGGAGCACCACGAAUGGUUAGUAUGAAAUACUUGAACUCCUAUAUUGUAUAAACUCAUAAUUAGAAGUUAGAAAAGCAACAAACAAUUCAACUAAUUGGAGAUGUUAUACAUUGUACAGGGUCCAACUUUUGGAGCUAUGAUGAUAUCAGGACAGAAGGCAGCUCACCUCGCCCUACGAGCGUUGGGAUUGCCCAACGCCCUUGAUGGAACUGCAGAAACAAGCGUCCUCCCGGAGCUUAUGUUGGCUGCAGCUGAUGAAGCUGAAAUUGCUGAUGCUUGAAUGUAAUUAUAGUUUUCUAAGCAAGGAUUAUGAGAAAUAUUAGUUUUUCCUAGAUAAGUGAGUAUGGUUGUGGUGGUGAUGAUAAAUUGGUAAGGGGAUGAUGAAUAAGAGUCUUCAAGAUGAAAGUCAUUGUGUUAACUUUGGCUAUUUUAUUUUGAUUUAUUUCUAUUUCGAAACUUUUAUGGAAGAAAGUAGAUUUUAGUUUUGGUCGUUCCUUGAAUAAUCUUUUAGGCCUUUUGGGCUUUGUACUUGAUAUGGUUUGGGCCUCAUUGGAGAAGCCAUAUGAAUGAACAUUGUGAUUGGGCUAAGAUGUUUUUGCACUAAUGGCCUUUUGAGGAUUUACAUCCAAUUACUUUCAAAUGCAAAAUUUAGUUGAUUUGAUUUCGAUGGAGUUUGUGGAGGGUAAAGAGUACGAAGACUUUAUCACUACUUUGUGGAGAUAGAAAAGCUAUUUUUGAGAGACUUUCAGCUCAAAAUACUUAAAUCACGAUGGUUAAGAGCUAAUUACAUUAUUUUUCUAUUCUAUUUUAAAUAACGAAAACUCCUUGAAAUUUAUAAAUUUUCGAUUCAUUUUUAGACUUUUGGAUAUAUCAUCGGACUUUUCGAUGCAUUAGUAGAUAUUCGAAUACAUAUGUGAUGGAUGUAUCAAAGAGGGGAAAGACAUCUGGAUACAUGACUAGACUUCCGGAUAUGUCAACAAACAUCUGGAACAUAGAUAAGGAAUGUAUCAGAGAGGACAGAAAUAUAUUCGAGAGGGGAUAUGAAUGUAUCAACAAAAGGAGAGUGAUGUAUCAGGAGAUAUUUGAUUUUUUUUAAAUAAUAAAAAAUUGCAGAAAUUAUAUCAAAAUAAAAUGUUUAUUUAGAUCAUUUUUCUAAUAUUUAUUGGUAGAAGUUGCACAUUGAAGAACUGGAAAAGAUAUUUAAGAAAUUGAAAUCGAAGAUAAUUUAUCAUCAUGAAUAAUGAUGUUGAAUGAAAUGAAAAAUGAUAAUAGAGUUGUUAUUGGGAUAUAAUGGUAUAGCCUUAGUACUCGAAAGUUUUAAAUAUACAUAAUAAGAGAAAAAACAUAAAGUGAUUCUUGAUAUUAUUUUAUAUUUUAAAAAAGACAUUUUAAUUUGGGGCGUGCUAUUAACCUCUAAAUAAUUUCAAAUAUAUAUUAUUACAUCAUUUCGAUCAAUUUCAGAUUUUAAAUACAAAUACGAUCACACCCCAAUCAUUGCGUGUCACAUGGUAAUUAAAUUUGAAAUACUAUUUAUUUCAUGUUAAGUUUUUCUUUAUUUUUCUCUCUUACCUUUUUGACUUAUUUAACUUUACUAGUUUAAUUUUAAUUUCAUUUUAAAUACUAUUUCAUCUCCCAUCCUAACCUCACCCUACCCCCACGUCAAGUGACACCUCCAUUUUUUUCUUCUUCUAUCAAAUUUCUUUCUUUUUAAAACGAUACUAUUUACUAGAUUUUUUUGAGUUAUUGAUAACAAAAAUAAUGUGUUUUCUAAGAAAAAUCAAAGUUGAAGAUAUCAUCAAUUAAUUUAUCUAUUUGAAAGAAUUAGAAAAAGAAAAAGUUUAAUUAAAAUUUGGAUAAAAUAAAUUAAAUAAUACCUAUUAAUUUAUCAUCUUGAAAUCUAAUAGUUUAUCGAAUUGUUCCAAAUGUAAUAAAAUAAUUAGAUAUUAUUUUAAAAUUGAAGAGAGUUAAACUUCUAUAGUAAAACAUGGAGGUGAAGUUGUGGUAAAAAGUGACAUUGAAAGUGAGAAAUUUCAAUGAAGAUGACAAUGAAUUUUUGAAGAAGAAGGAAAAAAGAAAAAGAAAAAAUAAUGAGAAAAAAUUAAAAUAAUAAGAAAAACAAGAAAAUAUAUUUUACAACAAAAUACAUGUAAAAAUAAAAUUAUAUUCGUUUUUUAGUUUGUUCACGCUUUUUAGGAGGGUGCAUACACUCUCCAUGCAAAGUGGACAAAAAUGUUGUAAUAAUAUGUCUAGAAUUUUUUAGUAGGGGUGUGCAUUCGGUUUCUAUACUAUUCGGUUUGAAUUUUUGAUUUUUGGUUUUGAAGAAGUGUAACCCAAUCCAAACCAAAAUAAAUUUGGUUUGAUUUAAUUUCUCUCUCUUUUUUUUUUUCGAUUUCAUUAAUCAGUUAUGUCAAUAAUUAGAAACAUAACCAAAUUUUGUAUAUGCUUACUCUAUCUAUUUGUAUACGAUUUUAUGAAAAAUUCAUAAUAAAUUAUCCUUUUCGUAUAUUGGCAAAGGAAAAAAUAACGGAGUUCUGAAAAAUUCUUAAAUGUACAUAAUAUGCAUAUACUUACCCGACCUCUUUAGCAAAUGGAAUUAUAGCUAUGAAAUACAAUUAUUGAAACUAUAGCUAUAAAGUCUUA